UUUCUACUCCUUCCGUCCGGAAAUACUUAUCAUUAAAAUGAAUAAAAAGAGAUGUAUCUAGAUGUAUUUUAAUUCUAGAUAUACCUUUUUUAUUCAUUCUGAUGACAAGUAUUUCCGGACGAAGGGAGUAUUUC
rfam:Triticum urartu cultivar G1812 contig1146852, whole genome shotgun sequence.